GUAUUCCAAAGCCAAAGUACCUUUCAGAUUUUUAGAUUUUCACAAUAUCUCUUCUCCUCCCCUGUCCUCUCUCUCUCUCUCUAUUUCUGGUAAGCUCAGAUGUUGCAGGUGUUCUUGGCGGUGGCUUUCUCUGCUGUUCCUCUGACUCUGUACGUGCCUCCCUUAAGAAGCCUCAACCUGUUUGUGCAGACCAUGGAGGAUCUCAUCAGAGAGACCAGCCUGUACACUGGCAGAUUUUAUCCUCGCGUGCGCCUUGCCUGGUCAAGAGUCCUUGAUUGCAUGCUCUGUAACCUCACCUGAGGAGGCAAGGCUAAGGUUUGUUUAACCCAAUCCCUGCCCAGUCUGAAAUCUAGGUCAAACUUGCUCAUUGGUGGGGUUGGGUUUUGGUAUGAUUGGGUUCAACCUGCCUCUCUACUCAGUUAGAAGACUCGAGCAAACAUUGUUUAAGAGCAUCGUUGGAACCAGCAAGCAAGACUAUGGAAGGCAUUAAUGGCGCUUUUGGGUUUGGCAGAAUGGCUGCACUGAUAUUUCUCAUUUUCCAUGGUCGAGUUUUAAUAUAAGCUUAAGGUGGUAUUGGCCUUUCAAGCAAAAUUGGCUCGCAUUCAAGGCAGCAGUUGACAUGGAUGGAAUUUUUUUUUACAAUAGAAGAGUUACCAAAUGGGUCAGAUGAGGGAAUGGAGAAAAGGGUGAUUAAAAGAGCUUGCACUUUCAUUGUCAUGUACCUGUCAUUACUGCUAAGGACAUAAAGCAACCAGAGGAAAUGAAGCAAAGGUAUCUUCAUGGCCAUUUUGCUUGUUAAAAAUUUCCUUCUUUUCAUGAUUUCAUCAUAAGUUGGAGAGAAAGACAAGAAAAUGAAUAAAGGCUCAAAUUGAUGAGAAUAUCAGGACAAGCAUCCAUAAAUGUUGUGGCAAGGGAUUCUCUAAGUGAGAAGACAUCAUGCUAUUUACCAACAACAUUUUCAGACAAACAGAAAUUGAAAGGAGUUCCAUCUAUGGGGAUAAAAUAUGGUUUGGUUGGACAAAA